GAUUUACCAAGCUCCUGAAUGUGAAGCAUUCCCAGGCAAGGCCCCCGCAGCUACCGCCAUCUGAAGAUGUCAUAAAUCUCUGUGUCUACAAAGGUGCUUUGCCAUAUAAAGACAUCUCAUGGAAGGUAUUGGGCUAACCAACCAAUGUAUUCCCCCUCUGAGGAAAUAUAAAAAUCCUGGUGGUUCAGAUGGGCAGAAUUGGAAUCAGCGAGGAGCUUAGUAAAUGUCCCUUUUAGCCAACAAAUUAACAACUACAACACUGAAAAUGUAUCUCAAACCUAUGUCCAGUGUUCUCAUGAGUGCAAUAACUCAAUGGAAGCUUUGGAAUCCGUGUAGUUGUCCGUCAGCCUGCUCAUCACUACCAAUUACACAGGAGCUAACUCACCACCUGCAUGAGGAUAAUAAUUGAAGACCUGCCAUAAACGCUGUGAUUCCUCCCAUCGUCAGCAUCCUCUGAUUUAAUUAGUCAUAGGAUACUGCUGGCAGCGCGUGUAAUUAAGAAGUAUCAGAUACUUAUGUCAUUGCUACUUACCUCGUUAUAGGCUGAGCGUCAAACUCAAUAAUGAGCAUUAUUCCAUUUAAUAUUUAUUUGACGCUCUUCAUCGCUAGAUCAUAUAAAUACACUAAGAUAUUCUGUUUAUAACUUAUAAUUACACGCCCAACACUUUACAUGUCAGAAUCACUCACAUCACAUAUCACAGUCCGUUACUGGUGAGCUCAUACUUUAGUCCCCUUGUCUCCUUACUGAUACAAUACAAUACUUUGUACAGCGUAAAUAGAGCGCUAAAGGAAAAAGAUAAGUAUA